rnacentral:tRNA from 1 species
GAGAUGUUAGUAAACCAAUUACAUAGACCCGUCAAGACUAAAUCACAGGCAAAACUCCUGUACAUCUCA